AUUGAACGCUGGCGGCAUGCUUUACACAUGCAAGUCGAACGGUAACAGGUUAAGCUGACGAGUGGCGAACGGGUGAGUAAUGCAUCGGAACGUGCCCGGUCGUGGGGGAUAACGCAGCGAAAGUUGCGCUAAUACCGCAUACGAUCUGAGGAUGAAAGCGGGGGACCGUAAGGCCUCGCGCGAUCGGAGCGGCCGAUGGCAGAUGAGGUAGUUGGUGGGGUAAAGGCUCACCAAGCCAACGAUCUGUAGCUGGUCUGAGAGGACGACCAGCCACACUGGGACUGAGACACGGCCCAGACUCCUACGGGAGGGAGCAGUGGGGAAUUUUGGACAAUGGGCGAAAGCCUGAUCCAGCAAUGCCGCGUGCAGGAAGAAGGCCUUCGGGUUGUAAACUGCUUUUGUACGGAGCGAAAGGGUCUCCUCUAAUACAGGGGGCUCAUGACGGUACCGUAAGAAUAAGCACCGGCUAACUACGUGCCAGCCGCCGCCGUAAUAC
rnacentral:rRNA from 1 species